rnacentral:rRNA from 1 species
AUACGGAGGGGGCUAGCGUUGUUCGGAAUUACUGGGCGUAAAGCGUACGUAGGCGGACUGAUCAGUUGGGGGUGAAAUCCCAGGGCUUAACCCUGGAACUGCCUUCAAUACUGUCAGUCUUGAGUUUGGGAGAGGUGAGUGGAAUUCCUAGUGUAGAGGUGAAAUUCAUAGAUAUUAGGAGGAACACCAGUGGCGAAGGCGGCUCACUGGCCCGGUACUGACGCUGAGGUGCGAAAGCGUGGGGAGCAAACAGGAUUAGAAACCCUAGUAGUCC